rnacentral:rRNA from 1 species
UACGUAGGGUGCAAGCGUUACUCGGAAUUACUGGGCGUAAAGCGUGCGUAGGCGGCUAUGUAAGACAGAUGUGAAAUCCCUGGGCUCAACCUAGGAACUGCAUUUGUGACUGCAUAGCUAGAGUGUGGUAGAGGGAGAUGGAAUUCCGCAUGUAGCAGUGAAAUGCGUAGAUAUGCGGAGGAACACCGAUGGCGAAGGCAGUCCCCUGGGCCUGCACUGACGCUCAUGCACGAAAGCGUGGGGAGCAAACAGG